AUUGAACGCUGACGGCAGGCUUAACACAUGCAAGUCGAACGGCAGCACAGAGGAGCUUGCUCCUUGGGUGGCGAGUGGCGGACGGGUGAGGAAUACGUCGGAAUCUGCCUAUUUGUGGGGGAUAACGUAGGGAAACUUACGCUAAUACCACAUACGACCUACGGGUGAAAGUGGGGGACCGCAAGGCCUCACGCGGAUAGAUGAGCCGACGUCGGAUUAGCUAGUUGGCGGGGUAAAGGCCCACCAAGGCGACGAUCCGUAGCUGGUCUGAGAGGAUGAUCAGCCACACUGGAACUGAGACACGGUCCAGACUCCUACGGGAGGCAGCAGUGGGGAAUAUUGGACAAUGGGCGCAAGCCUGAUCCAGCCAUGCCGCGUGUGUGAAGAAGGCCUUCGGGUUGUAAAGCACUUUUGUCCGGAAAGAAAAGCUUAGGGUUAAUAACCCUGAGUCAUGACGGUACCGGAAGAAUAAGCACCGGCUAACUUCGUGCCAGCCGCCGCGGUAACAC
rnacentral:rRNA from 1 species